GACGAACGCUGGCGGCGUGCUUAACACAUGCAAGUCGAACGGAAAGGCCCUGCUUUUGUGGGGUGCUCGAGUGGCGACCGGGUGAGUAACACGUGAGUACCCUGCCAUUGACUUUGGGAUAUCUUCAGGACACUGGGGCUCAUACCGGCUAGGAGCUCCUGCUGCAUGGUGGGGGUUGGAAAGUUUCGGCGGUUGGGGAUGGACUCGCGGCUUAUCGGCUUGUUGGUGGGGUAGUGGCUUACCAAGGCUUUGACGGGUAGCCGGCCUGAGAGGGUGAGCGGCCACAUUGGGACUGAGAUACGGCCCAGACUCCUACGGUAGGCAGCAGUGGGGAAUGGUGCACAAUGGGCGGAAGCCUGAUGCAGCAACGCCGCGUGGGGUAUGACGUGCUUCGGGUUGUGAACCGAUUUCGCCUGUGACGAAGCGAGAGUGACAGUAAUGGGUAAAGAAGCACCGGCUAACUACGUG
rnacentral:rRNA from 1 species